rnacentral:rRNA from 1 species
UUAAGCGACUAAGCGUACACGGUGGAUGCCCUGGCAGUCAGAGGCGAUGAAGGACGUGCUAAUCUGCGAAAAGCGUCGGUAAGGUGAUAUGAACCGUUAUAACCGGCGAUGUCCGAAUGGGGAAACCCAGUGCAAUUCGUUGCACUAUCGUUAACUGAAUACAUAGGUUAACGAGGCGAACCGGGGGAACUGAAACAUCUAAGUACCCCGAGGAAAAGAAAUCAACCGAGAUUCCCCCAGUAGCGGCGAGCGAACGGGGAGCAGCCCAGAGUCUGAAUCAGCUUGUGUGUUAGUGGAACGGUCUGGAAAGUCCGACGGUACAGGGUGAUAGUCCCGUACACCAAAAUGCACAGGUUGUGAACUCGAAGAGUAGGGCGGGACACGUGGUAUCCUGUCUGAAUAUGGGGGGACCAUCCUCCAAGGCUAAAUACUCCUGACUGACCGAUAGUGAACCAGUACCGUGAGGGAAAGGCGAAAAGAACCCCGGCGAGGGGAGUGAAAAAGAACCUGAAACCGUGUACGUACAAGCAGUGGGAGCACCUUCGGGUGUGACUGCGUACCUUUUGUAUAAUGGGUCAGCGACUUAUAUUCUGUAGCAAGGUUAACCGUAUAGGGGAGCCGCAGGGAAACCGAGUCUUAACUGGGCGUUAAGUUGCAGGGUAUAGACCCGAAACCCGGUGAUCUAGCCAUGGGCAGGUUGAAGGUUGGGUAACACUAACUGGAGGACCGAACCGACUAAUGUUGAAAAAUUAGCGGAUGACUUGUGGCUGGGGGUGAAAGGCCAAUCAAACCGGGAGAUAGCUGGUUCUCCCCGAAAGCUAUUUAGGUAGCGCCUCGUGAACUCAUCUUCGGGGGUAGAGCACUGUUUCGGCUAGGGGGGCAUCCCGACUUACCAACCCGAUGCAAACUACGAAUACCGAAGAAUGUUAUCACGGGAGACACACGGCGGGUGCUAACGUCCGUCGUGAAGAGGGAAACAACCCAGACCGCCAGCUAAGGUCCCAAAGUCAUGGUUAAGUGGGAAACGAUGUGGGAAGGCACAGACAGCCAGGAUGUUGGCUUAGAAGCAGCCAUCAUUUAAAGAAAGCGUAAUAGCUCACUGGUCGAGUCGGCCUGCGCGGAAGAUGUAACGGGGCUAAACCAUGCACCGAAGCUGCGGCAGCGACACUAUGUGUUGUUGGGUAGGGGAGCGUUCUGUAAGCCUGCGAAGGUGACCUGUGAGGGUUGCUGGAGGUAUCAGAAGUGCGAAUGCUGACAUAAGUAACGAUAAAGCGGGUGAAAAGCCCGCUCGCCGGAAGACCAAGGGUUCCUGUCCAACGUUAAUCGGGGCAGGGUGAGUCGACCCCUAAGGCGAGGCCGAAAGGCGUAGUCGAUGGGAAACAGGUUAAUAUUCCUGUACUUGGUGUUACUGCGAAGGGGGGACGGAGAAGGCUAUGUUAGCCGGGCGACGGUUGUCCCGGUUUAAGCAUGUAGGCUGAUUAUCCAGGCAAAUCCGGAUAAUCAAGGCUGAGGUGUGAUGACGAGGCACUACGGUGCUGAAGUAACAAAUGCCCUGCUUCCAGGAAAAGCCUCUAAGCAUCAGGUAACAUUAAAUCGUACCCCAAACCGACACAGGUGGUCAGGUAGAGAAUACCAAGGCGCUUGAGAGAACUCGGGUGAAGGAACUAGGCAAAAUGGUGCCGUAACUUCGGGAGAAGGCACGCUGGUGUGUAGGUGAAGUCCCUGCGGAUGGAGCUGAGACCAGUCGAAGAUACCAGCUGGCUGCAACUGUUUAUUAAAAACACAGCACUGUGCAAACACGAAAGUGGACGUAUACGGUGUGACGCCUGCCCGGUGCCGGAAGGUUAAUUGAUGGGGUUAUCCGUAAGGAGAAGCUCUUGAUCGAAGCCCCGGUAAACGGCGGCCGUAACUAUAACGGUCCUAAGGUAGCGAAAUUCCUUGUCGGGUAAGUUCCGACCUGCACGAAUGGCGUAAUGAUGGCCAGGCUGUCUCCACCCGAGACUCAGUGAAAUUGAACUCGCUGUGAAGAUGCAGUGUACCCGCGGCAAGACGGAAAGACCCCGUGAACCUUUACUAUAGCUUGACACUGAACAUUGAGCCUUGAUGUGUAGGAUAGGUGGGAGGCUUUGAAGCGUGGACGCCAGUCUGCGUGGAGCCAACCUUGAAAUACCACCCUUUAAUGUUUGAUGUUCUAACGUUGGCCCCUGACCGGGGUUGCGGACAGUGUCUGGUGGGUAGUUUGACUGGGGCGGUCUCCUCCCAAAGCGUAACGGAGGAGCACGAAGGUUAGCUAAUCCUGGUCGGACAUCAGGAGGUUAGUGCAAUGGCAUAAGCUAGCUUGACUGCGAGCGUGACGGCGCGAGCAGGUGCGAAAGCAGGUCAUAGUGAUCCGGUGGUUCUGAAUGGAAGGGCCAUCGCUCAACGGAUAAAAGGUACUCCGGGGAUAACAGGCUGAUACCGCCCAAGAGUUCAUAUCGACGGCGGUGUUUGGCACCUCGAUGUCGGCUCAUCACAUCCUGGGGCUGAAGUAGGUCCCAAGGGUAUGGCUGUUCGCCAUUUAAAGUGGUACGCGAGCUGGGUUUAGAACGUCGUGAGACAGUUCGGUCCCUAUCUGCCGUGGGCGCUGGAGAAUUGAGGGGGGCUGCUCCUAGUACGAGAGGACCGGAGUGGACGCAUCACUGGUGUUCGGGUUGUCAUGCCAAUGGCACUGCCCGGUAGCUAAAUGCGGAAGAGAUAAGUGCUGAAAGCAUCUAAGCACGAAACUUGCCCCGAGAUGAGUUCUCCCUGAGACUUUAAGUCUCCUGAAGGAACGUUAAAGACGAUGACGUUGAUAGGCCGGGUGUGUAAGCGCAGCGAUGCGUUGAGCUAACCGGUACUAAUGAACCGUGAGGCUUAACCUU